AAUUCGCCCUUAGAGUUUGAUCCUGGCUCAGGAUGAACGCUGGCGGCGUGCCUAACACAUGCAAGUCGAACGAGAUGCGUAUUGGAAAGCUUCGGCCGGAAGAUGCGUUAUCUAGUGGCGGACGGGUGAGUAACACGUGGGUAACCUGCCUUAUGGAGGGGGAUAACAGAGAGAAAUCACUGCUAAUACCGCAUAAGCACACAUUGCCGCAUGGCAGAGUGUGAAAAGAUUUAUCGCCAUAAGAUGGACCCGCGUCUGAUUAGCCAGUUGGCAGGGUAAAAGCCUACCAAAGCAACGAUCAGUAGCCGAUCUGAGAGGAUGACCGGCCACAUUGGGACUGAGACACGGCCCAAACUCCUACGGGAGGCAGCAGUGGGGAAUAUUGCACAAUGGGGGAAACCCUGAUGCAGCGACGCCGCGUGAGUGAAGAAGUAUUUCGGUAUGUAAAGCUCUAUCAGCAGGGAAGAUAAUGACAGUACCUGACUAAGAAGCCCCGGCUAACUACGUGCCAGCAGCCGCGGUAAUACGUAGGGGGCAAGCAUUAUCCGGAUUUACUGGGUGUAAAGGGAGCGUAGACGGAGUGGCAAGCCUGAAGUGAAAACCCUGGGCUUAACCUGGGGACUGCUUUGGAAACUGUUAAUCUAGAGUGUUGGAGAGGUAAGUGGAAUUCCUGGUGUAGCGGUGAAAUGCGUAGAUAUCAGGAAGAACACCGGAGGCGAAGGCGGCUUACUGGACAAUAACUGACGUUGAGGCUCGAAAGCGUGGGGAUCAAACAGGAUUAGAUACCCUGGUAGUCCACGCUGUAAAC
rnacentral:rRNA from 1 species